AUUGAACGCUGGCGGCAUGCUUUACACAUGCAAGUCGAACGGUAACAGGCCGCAAGGUGCUGACGAGUGGCGAACGGGUGAGUAAUGCAUCGGAACGUGCCCAGUCGUGGGGGAUAACGCAGCGAAAGCUGCGCUAAUACCGCAUACGAUCUAUGGAUGAAAGCGGGGGACCGUAAGGCCUCGCGCGAUGGGAGCGGCCGAUGUCAGAUUAGGUAGUUGGGGGGGUAAAGGCACACCAAGCCAAAGAUCUGUGGCGGCUCUGAGAGGACGACCAGCCAGACUGGGACUGAGUCACGGCGCAGACUCCUACGGGAGGCAGCAGUGUGGAAUUUUGGACAAUGGGCGCAAGCCUGAUCCAGCAAUGCCGCGUGCAGGAAGAAGGCGUUCGGGUUGUAAACUGCUUUUGUACGGAACGAAAAGGCUCUGGAUAAUACCUGGGGCUCAUGACGGUACCGUAAGAAUAAGCACCGGCUAACUACGUGCCAGCCGCCGCCGUAACAC
rnacentral:rRNA from 1 species